UACGUAGGGGGGCAAGCGUUGUCCGGAUUUAUUGGCGUAAAGAGCGUGUAGGCGGCCAGGUAGGUCAGCUGUGAAAACUCGAGGCUUAACCUCGAGACGCCGGCUGAAACCCUCUGGCUAGAGUCCGGAAGAGGAGAGCGGAAGUUCCUGGUGUAGCGGUGAAAUGCGCAGAUAUCAGGAAGAACACCCGUGGCGAAGGCGGCUCUCUGGGACGGUACUGACGCUGAGACGCGAAAGCGUGGGGAGCGAACAGG
rnacentral:rRNA from 1 species